AGAACGAACGCUGGCGGCAUGCCUAACACAUGCAAGUCGAACGAGACCUUCGGGUCUAGUGGCGCACGGGUGCGUAACGCGUGGGAAUCUGCCCUUGGGUUCGGAAUAACAGCGAGAAAUUGCUGCUAAUACCGGAUGAUGACGUAAGUCCAAAGAUUUAUCGCCCAAGGAUGAGCCCGCGUAGGAUUAGCUUGUUGGUGAGGUAAGAGCUCACCAAGGCGACGAUCCUUAGCUGGUCUGAGAGGAUGAUCAGCCACACUGGGACUGAGACACGGCCCAGACUCCUACGGGAGGCAGCAGUGGGGAAUAUUGGACAAUGGGCGAAAGCCUGAUCCAGCAAUGCCGCGUGAGUGAUGAAGGCCUUAGGUUGUAAAGCUCUUUACCGGAUGAUAAUGACAGUAACCGGAGAAUAAGCUCCGGCUAACUCCGUGCCAGCCAGCCGC
rnacentral:rRNA from 1 species